rnacentral:rRNA from 1 species
GACGAACGCUGGCGGCGUGCCUAAUACAUGCAAGUAGAACGCUGAAGAGAGGAGCUUGCUCUUCUUGGAUGAGUUGCGAACGGGUGAGUAACGCGUAGGUAACCUGCCUUGUAGCGGGGGAUAACUAUUGGAAACGAUAGCUAAUACCGCAUAACAAUGAAUGACACAUGUCAUUUAUUUGAAAGGGGCAAUUGCUCCACUACAAGAUGGACCUGCGUUGUAUUAGCUAGUAGGUGGGGUAACGGCUCACCUAGGCGACGAUACAUAGCCGACCUGAGAGGGUGAACGGCCACACUGGGACUGAGACACGGCCCAGACUCCUACGGGAGGCAGUAGUAGGGAAUCUUCGGCAAUGGGGGCAACCCUGACCGAGCAACGCCGCGUGAGUGAAGAAGGUUUUCGGAUCGUAAAGCUCUGUUGUAAGUCAAGAACGAGUGUGAGAGUGGAAAGUUCACACUGUGACGGUAGCUUACCAGAAAGGGACGGCUAACUACGUGCCAGCAGCCGCCGUAAGAC